GAAAUGCGAUAAGUAAUGUGAAUUGCAGAAUUCAGUGAAUCAUCGAAUCUUUGAACGCACAUUGCGCCCGCCAGCACUCUGGCAGGCAUGCCUGUUCGAGCGUCAUUUCAACCCUCAGAACCCCUUGCGGGAUCUGGCGUUGGGGAUUGGCAUCCAGCCAGCCCCGAAAUCUAGUGGCGGUCCCUCCGCGACCUCCCAUGUGCAGUAGCGAUACCUCGCAGCGGGACAGGGUCUGACCACGCCGUAAAACCCCCAACUUCUCAAGGUUGACCUCGAAUCAGGUAGGAAUACCCGCCGAACUUAAGC
rnacentral:misc_RNA from 1 species